rnacentral:rRNA from 1 species
CCUACGGGUGGCAGCAGUAGGGAAUUUUGCUCAAUGGGCGAAAGCCUGACGCAGCAACACCGCGUGCAUGUUAAACCCUUCGGGGUGUAAAACUCUGUCAAUAUGGACGAAUUUUGACUGUACCUAUAAAGGAAGCACCUGCUAACUCCGUGCCAGCAGCCGCGGUAAUACGGAGGGUGCAAGCGUUGUCCGGGAUCAUUGGGCGUAAAGCGGUCGUAGGCGGCAAGGUAAGUCUGAUGUUAAAGCCCGGGGCUCAACUCCGGUGCGGCAUUGGAUACUAUCUAGCUAGAAUGUGGUAGAGGUAAAGGGAAUUCCUGGUGUAGCGGUGAAAUGCGUAGAUAUCAGGAGGAACAGCGGUGGCGAAAGCG